rnacentral:rRNA from 1 species
GGUUAAGCGACUAAGCGUACACGGUGGAUGCCCUGGCAGUCAGAGGCGAUGAAGGACGUGCUAAUCUGCGAAAAGCGCCGGCGAGGUGAUAUGAACCUUUGACCCGGCGAUGUCCGAAUGGGGAAACCCAGUGCAAUUCGUUGCACUAUCGUUAACUGAAUACAUAGGUUAACGAGGCGAACCGGGGGAACUGAAACAUCUAAGUACCCCGAGGAAAAGAAAUCAACCGAGAUUCCCCCAGUAGCGGCGAGCGAACGGGGAGCAGCCCAGAGUCUGAAUCAGCUUGUGUGUUAGUGGAACGGUCUGGAAAGUCCGGCGAUACAGGGUGAUAGCCCCGUACACGAAAGCACACAGGCUGUGAACUCGAAGAGUAGGGCGGGACACGUGGUAUCCUGUCUGAAUAUGGGGGGACCAUCCUCCAAGGCUAAAUACUCCUGACUGACCGAUAGUGAACCAGUACCGUGAGGGAAAGGCGAAAAGAACCCCGGCGAGGGGAGUGAAAAAGAACCUGAAACCGUGUACGUACAAGCAGUGGGAGCACCUUCGUGGUGUGACUGCGUACCUUUUGUAUAAUGGGUCAGCGACUUAUAUUCUGUAGCAAGGUUAACCGUAUAGGGGAGCCGAAGGGAAACCGAGUCUUAACUGGGCGUUAAGUUGCAGGGUAUAGACCCGAAACCCGGUGAUCUAGCCAUGGGCAGGUUGAAGGUUGGGUAACACUAACUGGAGGACCGAACCGACUAAUGUUGAAAAAUUAGCGGAUGACUUGUGGCUGGGGGUGAAAGGCCAAUCAAACCGGGAGAUAGCUGGUUCUCCCCGAAAGCUAUUUAGGUAGCGCCUCGUGAACUCAUCUUCGGGGGUAGAGCACUGUUUCGGCUAGGGGGCCAUCCCGGCUUACCAACCCGAUGCAAACUACGAAUACCGAAGAAUGUUAUCACGGGAGACACACGGCGGGUGCUAACGUCCGUCGUGAAGAGGGAAACAACCCAGACCGCCAGCUAAGGUCCCAAAGUCAUGGUUAAGUGGGAAACGAUGUGGGAAGGCACAGACAGCCAGGAUGUUGGCUUAGAAGCAGCCAUCAUUUAAAGAAAGCGUAAUAGCUCACUGGUCGAGUCGGCCUGCGCGGAAGAUGUAACGGGGCUAAACCAUGCACCGAAGCUGCGGCAGCGACGCUUAGGCGUUGUUGGGUAGGGGAGCGUUCUGUAAGCCGUUGAAGGUGGCCUGUGAGGGUUGCUGGAGGUAUCAGAAGUGCGAAUGCUGACAUAAGUAACGAUAAAGCGGGUGAAAAGCCCGCUCGCCGGAAGACCAAGGGUUCCUGUCCAACGUUAAUCGGGGCAGGGUGAGUCGACCCCUAAGGCGAGGCCGAAAGGCGUAGUCGAUGGGAAACAGGUUAAUAUUCCUGUACUUGGUGUUACUGCGAAGGGGGGACGGAGAAGGCUAUGUUAGCCGGGCGACGGUUGUCCCGGUUUAAGCAUGUAGGCGGAGGUUCCAGGUAAAUCCGGUACCUUUUAACGCUGAGGUGUGAUGACGAGGCACUACGGUGCUGAAGUAACAAAUGCCCUGCUUCCAGGAAAAGCCUCUAAGCAUCAGGUAACACGAAAUCGUACCCCAAACCGACACAGGUGGUCAGGUAGAGAAUACCAAGGCGCUUGAGAGAACUCGGGUGAAGGAACUAGGCAAAAUGGUGCCGUAACUUCGGGAGAAGGCACGCUGAUAUGUAGGUGAAGCCCCUGCGGGUGGAGCUGAAAUCAGUCGAAGAUACCAGCUGGCUGCAACUGUUUAUUAAAAACACAGCACUGUGCAAACACGAAAGUGGACGUAUACGGUGUGACGCCUGCCCGGUGCCGGAAGGUUAAUUGAUGGGGUUAGCGGCAACGCGAAGCUCUUGAUCGAAGCCCCGGUAAACGGCGGCCGUAACUAUAACGGUCCUAAGGUAGCGAAAUUCCUUGUCGGGUAAGUUCCGACCUGCACGAAUGGCGUAAUGAUGGCCAGGCUGUCUCCACCCGAGACUCAGUGAAAUUGAACUCGCUGUGAAGAUGCAGUGUACCCGCGGCAAGACGGAAAGACCCCGUGAACCUUUACUAUAGCUUGACACUGAACACUGGUCCUUGAUGUGUAGGAUAGGUGGGAGGCUUUGAAGCGUGGACGCCAGUCUGCGUGGAGCCAUCCUUGAAAUACCACCCUUUAAUGGCUGGUGUUCUAACGUAGACCCGUAAUCCGGGUUGCGGACAGUGUCUGGUGGGUAGUUUGACUGGGGCGGUCUCCUCCCAAAGAGUAACGGAGGAGCACGAAGGUUAGCUAAUCCUGGUCGGACAUCAGGAGGUUAGUGCAAUGGCAUAAGCUAGCUUGACUGCGAGAGUGACGGCUCGAGCAGGUGCGAAAGCAGGUCAUAGUGAUCCGGUGGUUCUGAAUGGAAGGGCCAUCGCUCAACGGAUAAAAGGUACUCCGGGGAUAACAGGCUGAUACCGCCCAAGAGUUCAUAUCGACGGCGGUGUUUGGCACCUCGAUGUCGGCUCAUCACAUCCUGGGGCUGAAGUAGGUCCCAAGGGUAUGGCUGUUCGCCAUUUAAAGUGGUACGCGAGCUGGGUUUAGAACGUCGUGAGACAGUUCGGUCCCUAUCUGCCGUGGGCGCUGGAGAAUUGAGGGGGGCUGCUCCUAGUACGAGAGGACCGGAGUGGACGCAUCACUGGUGUUCGGGUUGUCAUGCCAAUGGCACUGCCCGGUAGCUAAAUGCGGAAAAGAUAAGUGCUGAAAGCAUCUAAGCACGAAACUUGCCCCGAGAUGAGUUCUCCCUGAGACUUUAAGUCUCCUGAAGGAACGUUGAAGACUACGACGUUGAUAGGUCGGGUGUGUAAGCGCAGCGAUGCGUUGAGCUAACCGAUACUAAUGAACCGUGAGGCUUAACCUU